rnacentral:rRNA from 1 species
AACGUUANNNNNNNNUUGCCUCGGCGGGAUCUUCUGCCCCGGGUGCGUCGCAGCCCCGGACCAAGGCGCCCGCCGGAGGAAUCAACCAAAACUCUUAUUGUAUACCCCCUCGCGGGUUUUUUUUAUAAUCUGAGCCUUCUCGGCGCCUCUCGUAGGCGUUUCGAAAAUGAAUCAAAACUUUCAACAACGGAUCUCUUGGUUCUGGCAUCGAUGAAGAACGCAGCGAAAUGCGAUAAGUAAUGUGAAUUGCAGAAUUCAGUGAAUCAUCGAAUCUUUGAAUGCACAUUGCGCCCGCCAGUAUUCUGGCGGGCAUGCCUGUCCGAGCGUCAUUUCAACCCUCGAACCCCUCCGGGGGGUCGGCGUUGGGGAUCGGCCUUCCUUCACGGGGGCCGUCUCCGAAAUACAGUGGCGGUCUCGCCGCAGCCUCUCCUGCGCAGUAGUUUGCACACUCGCAUCGGGAGCGCGGCGCGUCCACAGCCGUUAAACACCCAACUUUCUGAAAUGUUGACCUCGGAUCAGGUAGGAAUACCCGCUGAACUUA